GUGGCUCUGCCGUGGUGCACUUGAGCAAGGCACCGGACAAUCGCUGCAACUCCAGAGUGAAUAUUUCUCAGAACAACAGCAGCGGUGGACUAUGUUCGAGCUGUGCUCAUGUUGCUAUUCCACCCUUAUACUUUAACGUGGCUAUAAGGAUGCCUCUGUAAAUCAGAGCAGUUUAAUUUACAUUGUUUGGCGACAUACUGCCGUAGAUAAAGGAUUGUAUAUUAUGAGGUUUCUCUUGUCUUACAUGGAAAAUGUUAGCCUAGCCCUAAAGCCAGUCUGACUAAUCAAUAACAAGAUUUAGAGCCAACAAAAUAAAUAAGAGAUGAAUUGUUUAUGGCGUGUUUAAUGGAAGAACGCAUUACAUGUUAUAUAAAACUCCACCUUGCAGAACAUUAAUCAGGCAUACUUAUGGCAUAUUCCUUAUUCACCAAAAGCUUUCAAUGAGAUACUUGUUGCUCCCACAAUGAUAGAAAACAGGUUGUAAUCACAUGCAUGUUCAAUAAUAGAUUAUAGUUCACACGUUGAUAUAUUAUUUGCUGUUCAGCCUCCGACGUUGUGCCGAUGCCACUACAGUAAAAACAUAAAAAACUCUCAGUGGAAAAGGGAAAUAUAGAAGAGUAACUGCUCCACCUUUAUUCACUGUACUGCUCGUGCCCCUCUUGUUUCAGAUGUGUUCUCCUCAUUGAAUCCUUGUUUUCCUGCAGACUCUGGAGUGUGUGAGGGCGUGGUGUGUGAGGGUGUGGUGUUGACCAGCGACUCAGAGAGCGAGAUCUUCUGUGACUCAGUUGACUCUGUGGAGCAGCUCAGCAACAUCAAGUUGACCGUUGUGAAGACCAAUGGUUUUCCCAAUGGCCACGUGUCCUCUGAGUCGUGUCCUGUUCAGAGCCUCCAGCUGGAAGGCCGUCUGGAGGUGAGGCAGGUGGGGGCUGGGCAGGGUGGAGAGGGGGCGGAGGACGGGAAGGGCCCCCAGCGGAGGAGCAGAGACACAGGAAGGGAAGCUCCACACCACAACUGGAGAGAACGUGGUGUUCCUCAGGGCAGUCCCAGGAGGGGGGGGAGGGGGGGGAGAGGUGGUGGCCGAGGCCGGCCUGAGUGGCGGCUGGAGAUGCUCUGAGGGGGGGUGGAGAGGCUGCACGAGGCCCAGCUGCAGCAGCAGAUUGUGCUGGCGCUGCGCCGGCUGAGGGAGGACAUGAGGAGCGUGAUGGAGCGGUUGGAGGCGGUGGAGCGGCUCGCUGCCACACAUGCUCAGGGGUCAGAGUGGAGAACGUGCGCACAGUGUGCCACCGCAGCUGCAAAACAGCAGGUGCCAUCAACAAUCUAGACUUGGGGCAGCGUGGUUCCAUCGGCCUACAGACACCAUCAAUUAGUUUCACUGAAUCUAUUUAGAAAUAUAUGCAACUCCUUUAAGAGCACCUCAAGUAUUUUCAGUUUCUUAGACAUUUCAGGUGAACGUAUUACUUCAAAGUCUCAGAGAAUACAUUUAUGUUGUUUUUUCUAGGGCCGGGACUCGAUUAAAAAA